UAUAUAAACACAUCAAAUCAGAACAAAACAAUAACAAGAAAAUUAAUAAUUUCUAUAUCCUAAAUUGCAAGUGUAUGCUGAACAAGAG
rnacentral:miRNA from 1 species